rnacentral:rRNA from 1 species
AACGAACGCUGGCGGCAUGCCUAACACAUGCAAGUCGAACGAGACCUUCGGGUCUAGUGGCGCACGGGUGCGUAACGCGUGGGAACCUGCCCUUAGGUUCGGAAUAACUCCCCGAAAGGGGUGCUAAUACCGGAUAAUGUCUUCGGACCAAAGAUUUAUCGCCUUUGGAUGGGCCCGCGUUGGAUUAGCUAGUUGGUAGGGUAAAAGCCUACCAAGGCGACGAUCCAUAGCUGGUCUGAGAGGAUGAUCAGCCACACUGGGACUGAGACACGGCCCAGACUCCUACGGGAGGCAGCAGUGGCGAAUAUUGGACCAUGGGCGAAAGCCUGAUCCAGCAAUGCCGCGUGAGUGAUGAAGGCCUUAGGGUUGUAAAGCUCUUUUACCCGGGAUGAUAAUGACAGUACCGGGAGAAUAAGCUCCGGCUAACUCCGUG